GCGGGACUCGAUGCCAUGACUGUGGGAUCAUGACCUGAGCCGAAAUCAAGAGUCACAUGACUAACAGACUGAGCCACCCAGGCGCCCUCUCUUUGUUAUAUCCUAUCUUUGUGCUGCACCAAAGCUGGUGAGUGUUAUGCUGUGUCCUAAUUAAUUCUCACUUUUAGUCCUUUCUUAGAAACAAUUCCUAGAGGUCAUCCAGAAUUUUACUGUUUAAUACUUCAGAGGUCCUAAUUGUAAUCCCACUUGUUGUCAGCUAUAAAAUCCUAUUUUUCUAAUACAACUUCCUUUCUACCAUCCCCCACCUUUCAUAUUUUUAUUCAUCUGUUUCUUUCUUCUACUUCUGCUCUUGAUUCCAUGAACAUAUCACUUCUUCCAGGAAGCCCCAGUUCCCCAAAUAGGACUUAGAUAUGCCUUGCAUGUACCUAACAGUACCUUAUACUUCCCAUAUCUUAAUACUGUCUAUCAAAUUGCAUUUUUCAUUAAUUACCUCACUCACUGGACUGUGAGCUUCUGGAAGCUUAGAAGCAAGUCUUUGUUAAUCAUCUUUGUCUCCAUCUAGUCCAAUGCUGGCACAAGGUGGCAUUCAAUAAAUACUUGUUGAGUUGUGUGUAUUCUUGUCUCAUCUUGCUCUAUCAGUUGUAAACACUGUAUUUGUUUUUAGUCUUUCCUCUAUGCUCUCUUUGUAUACUUCCUCCUCCUUAAAAAAAUCUUCCUUCUUCCUUAAUGAACACUUAAUUAAGCUCUUAUUCAUUCCAUCACUGUGCUUUUUACUUCCAGGCUUCUCUUUGGAAUAAUCCACACUCACCAUAUCCAAGGCUUUCCCCCCUCUGACGUCCAGGCUGAUUGUAUGUUCCCCCUAUAGCUUUUCUUAGCACUUUGAUGCAUUCUUUUGCGAAAAGACUUCCAGGUGACUGCAGCCAUUGUCAUGUGUGUUUCAGUCUCUCAUUAGACAGUAUCCCUGUGAAAUACACAGACUCCACAUCCACAGAUCCAGACGUGUGGCAUUUAUUCUAGAGAUGUGUGUUAAGUAAACCAACAUUCGUAGGAGACUUGUUAAAUAACCCCUCUACAAUGAAUCUUUGUUUAUCAUAGUGGUGGCACAAUUGAUUAUUAUUAUUUACACAGACAUUAAUUUGGUACCAUCAUGUUCAACUACCAAGAACAAAUUAGAAUGCAGUUAAAAUCUUCUCUGAAUUUGGGAGGGCAAACCAUUCUAAUUAGAGGUAAUGUCCUUGCUGUAACAUAAGUGACUUUAUGCCAGUGGAGGUAAAAAGAGAAAUUAAAAAAAAAAAUUUUUUUUCUAUUUCAUUUUUCUCUGUUCUUUUACUGGUAAGGAUAAGAAGAAGGUGCCAGAAGAGAAAUAGUUAUCUGAGAACAUCUGUCAUCCGUUCAUUGCCUGGGGACCUGGUAGGUAGCUGGAGAACCUGCCUCGUUAUCAUUUUUUCUUCUGGUCUUGUGUUGAGCCAUAGUUUCUCUGGGAAAUUGACCAAAUCUUUCUUUGCCUGUUGAACCGGGUGUUGUGUUGAAGAGUCUGUGCUGUGGCACGGCAGGGGCCAAAAUCUUCAUCUGUAAUCACUCCUUUCUUGAAAUGGCUAAGCCAAGGCAUCUUUUACUAGAGGCAGAGAGGGUUGCGAGGACUCUGGGAAAUUGACAAGCAUAACAGACUUUUCAAACAAAAGGAGAAAAUGUGCCUUUCCAGGGCAUGUGCCAUUUCGAUGAAUUACAUCAUUGAGUGCUGGCAGUGGUUUGGUUAACAGCUAUUUGUUCUUCCAAGUUCUCAUAAAUUUAGGGGAAGGAUUUUUGGUGACUCGUUAAUUUUACUGUCUGACUUCACCUCUCUUGAAAGGAAGUUAACAUAUAUCCAUAUUCAGAAAAUUAAACUAGAUUUUGUCAGUGAAUAUAAAAGAAAUGACUCUAAUAUAAAACUUCUGUGUGAUUCACAAUUGGCUUUCGCCAAUCAAAUGGCAAACCACAGACUGGGGAAAGAGAUUUCCAACGCAUACAACGGAGAAAAGGUCCAUUUUUUUGGUAAUGCAUAAGCAGCUCUUAAAUUUGAGUAAAGAAUUUAAACAGAGAGAGAAACAUAAACAUGUUUAUGAGUAUAAAAAGGUACGUGAUUCCACUUAUACUGAAAGAAGUGCAACUGGUAAAACAUAUGUCACUAUUUAGGCUGACAAAAAAAAUUGAUAAUACACAGUGUGGGCAAGCAUGUAGAGAAGCAGGUACUCGUGUGGUUAGAGGGAGUAUAAGCUGAUGUAAUUUUCUUGGCAGUGUCACUCAGAAUUAAAAUGUAUAUAACCUUUGACCUACCAAUUCAAUUUCUGGGAAUUUGUCCAAAAGAAUUUACAAAUAAAAACAAAGAUAUUCAUGAUAGCAAUAUUUGUAGUUAAGAUGUGAAGCAAUAUAAAUGAUCCUGACUAGAAGACUGGUUCAGUAAAUUAUGAAAAGAUUGGUAAUUUGUGCUGUGUAGAGUAUGCUUAUAUUUAGUCUCUGUGCCAGUAUCAGGUUACCAUUUCUUAACUCCAGACUUGUCCUUCAUUGCCUGAUCUAUGAGGGUGGAUCUGUUCCCUUUAAAUAUUUCUCCUUCACCAGCUGAGAGGUAAUAAAUUGAUAACUGGCCCAGCUUUUUUAAAGCAAGGGCAUGGGGAGAGAUGAUAUUUAUGCUUGUGUAAAUAGGCACCUGCAUGAACAUGUUCUGGGAGCUACAGAAGUAGACAUUGAGAGGGAUUACCUCUAAGGGUAAGACUGAAACCUGGGGAGAUAGACUUAUUUGAAGUUUCUUACCAUGUGCACGUUUGAUUUCAUAGUUAGAGAAAACUACAGAACUUUGGUUAGACGUUAAAGGAAAAAAAAACAGACUUACAUCAAUGGAAGAAGAGACUGUUCCUAGCUGGAAAUGUGAAAUAUUGUAAAGAUGUCAUUUAAUCAAAAUUAAUUUAUAGACUUAAUGCAGUCCCAAGGUGGAGUCAGGGCAUGGUUUUUAUCGUUAAGAAGCUUAGAGUAUGGUUUGGGAGACAGAAACAUAAUGUUCACAGAAAAUGCCUUGAACAGUUACAGAGCAGUAUAUCAAGUGCAAAGCAAUAAAAUUGAAUACAUAUGUAUUGUGGGAACUUGGAGUCCUUUGAGAGAAUAGACAGAAUGGAGUUAAUCAGUAAAGGAUAGUUAAAAAAAAAAAAAAAACUUAUAAAA